rnacentral:rRNA from 1 species
GAUGAACGCUGGCGGCGUGCCUAAUACAUGCAAGUCGAGCGAACAGACGAGGAGCUUGCUCCUCUGACGUUAGCGGCGGACGUGUGAGUAACACGUGGAUAACCUACCUAUAAGACUGUGAUAACUUCGGGAAACCGGUGCUAAUACCUGAUAAUAUAUUGAACCGCAUGGUUCAAUAGUGAAAGACGGUUUUGCUGUCACUUAUAGAUGGAUCCGCGCCGCAUUAGCUAGUUGGUAAGGCAACGGCUUACCAAGGCGACGAUGCGUAGCCGACCUGAGAGGGUGAUCGGCCGCACUGGAACUGAGACACGGUCCAGACUCCUACGGGAGGCAGCAGUAGGGAAUCUUCCGCAAUGGGCGAAAGCCUGACGGAGCAACGCCGCGUGAGUGAUGAAGGUCUUCGGAUCGUAAAACUCUGUUAUUAGGGAAGAACAAAUGUGUAAGUAACUAUGCACGUCUUGACGGUACCUAAUCAGAAAGCCACGGCUAACUACGUG